GACGAACGCUGGCGGCAUGCCUAACACAUGCAAGUCGAGCGAGCAGAUCCCUUCGGGGUGAAGCUAGCGGCGGACGGGUGAGUAACACGUGGGCAACCUGCCUCAUAGAGGGGAAUAGCCUUCCGAACGGAAGAUUAAUACCGCAUAAGAUUGUAGCUUCCCAUGAAGCAGCAAUUAAAGGAGCAAUCCGCUAUGAGAUGGGCGCGCGGCGGAUUAGUUAGUUGGUGAGGUAACGGCUCACCAAGGCGACGAUGCGUAGCCGACCUGAGAGGGUGAUCGGCCACAUUGGGACUGAGACACGGCCCAGACUCCUACGGGAGGCAGCAGUGGGGAAUAUUGCACAAUGGGGGAAACCCUGAUGCAGCAAUGCCGCGUGAGUGAUGACGGCCUUCGGGUUGUAAAGCUCUGUCUUCGGGGACGAUAAUGACGGUACCCGAGGAGGAAGCCACGGCUAACUACGUGCCAGCCGCCGCAGUAA
rnacentral:rRNA from 1 species